rnacentral:rRNA from 1 species
GAUGAACGCUAGCGACGUGCCUAAGAAAUGCAAGUCGAGCGAUGAUGGUUACUUCGGUAACCUGAUUAGCGGCGAACGGUCGCGUAACACGUAAGCAAUCUGCCCUAAAGUUUGGGAUAGCCCGGCGAAAGUCGGAUUAAUACCGGAUGUGGAUAUUUUAACACCUGUUGAUUUAUCUAAAGUGGAAACACGCUUUAGGAUGAGCUUGCGGCCUAUCAGCUUGAUGGUGGGGUAAUGGCCUACCAUGGCGACGACGGGUAGCUGGUCUGAGAGGAUGAUCAGCCGGACUGGGACUGAGAUACGGCCCAGACUCCUACGGGGGGCAGCAAUUAGGAAUCUUGCGCAAUGGGCGAAAGCCUGACGCAGCGACGUCGCGUGACCGAUGAAGUCUUUCGGGAUGUAAAGGUCUUUUGUCGAGGAAGAGUAAAAGACGGUACUCGAUGAAUAAGCCCCGGCUAACUACGUG